GCCAGCAUGGUGUAGUGGUUUGAAUGUUGGACUGUGACUCUAGAAACCAGGGCUUGAUUCCCAGUUUGGCC